rnacentral:rRNA from 1 species
GGAGUUUGGGCCGUGUCUCAGUCCCAAUGUGGCCGUUCACUCUCUCAAGCCGGCUACUGAUCGUCGCCUUGGUGGGCCGUUACCUCACCAACUAGCUAAUCAGACGCGGGUCCAUCCCAUAGCGCUAAUGCUUUCAAGAAGAAAUCAUGCGGUUCCUCCUUACUAUGCGGUAUUAGCAGUCGUUUCCAACUGUUGUCCCCCUCUAUGGGGCAGGUUACCCACGCGUUACUCACCCGUCCGCCACUCAGUCAAAUACAUCUUCCCUCCGAAGAGUUCCGUCGUAAGUGCUUCGUUCGACUUGCAUGUGUUAAGCACGCCGCCAGCGUUCAUC